rnacentral:rRNA from 1 species
UACGGAGGAUGCGAGCGUUAUCCGGAUUUAUUGGGUUUAAAGGGUGCGUAGGCGGGCUUUUAAGUCAGCGGUAAAAAUUCGGGGCUCAACCCCGUCCGGCCGUUGAAACUGGGGGCCUUGAGUGGGCGAGAAGAAGGCGGAAUGCGUGGUGUAGCGGGGAAAUGCAUAGAUAUCACGCAGAACCCCGAUUGCGAAGGCAGCCUUCCGGCGCCCUACUGACGCUGAGGCACGAAAGUGCGGGGAUCGAACAGG